AGCCUUUCUACUACUUUGGAGUAUUUAAAACGUCCAUUUACGUGAGCCUCAACACUACAAGGACUGCCAUCUGUUUUGACGGAUAUAUUUCCAACAAAACUAAUCAGGACUGCAUUUUCAUAAAUGUGCAGACAAAUUCUCCAACUAAUGUUCAGUUCCUAA